GAUGAACGCUAGCGACAGGCUUAACACAUGCAAGUCGAGGGGCAUCGGGACGUAGCAAUACGUUGCCGGCGACCGGCGGAUGGGUGAGUAACGCGUAUGCAACCUGCCCACGACAGGGGGAUAGCCCGUUGAAAGACGGAUUAAUACCCCAUAAAACAGGGGUUCCGCAUGGGACUAUUUGUUAAAGGGUUUUCCGCGAGGGGAACACCGGUUGUGGAUGGGCAUGCGUUCCAUUAGGCAGUUGGUGAGGUAACGGCUCACCAAACCGACGAUGGAUAGGGGAACCGAGAGGUUGGUCCCCCACACUGGUACUGAGAUACGGACCAGACUCCUACGGGAGGCAGCAGUGAGGAAUUUUGGUCAAUGGACGGAAGUCUGAACCAGCCAAGUCGCGUGAAGGAAGGCGGCCCUAAGGGUUGUAAACUUCUUUUGUAAGGGAAUAAAGGUCGGUACGUGUUACCGGUUUGCAAGUACCUUACGAAUAAGGAUCGGCUAACUCCGUG
rnacentral:rRNA from 1 species